rnacentral:rRNA from 1 species
CCCUUAGAUGUCCGGGGCUGCACGCGCGCUACACUGAAGGAAUCAGCGUGCUAAAACCAUUGUCGAAAGGCAUUGGUAAACCCAUUAAAAUCCUACGUGAUUGGGAUCGGGAAUUGCAAUUAUUUCCCUUGAACGAGGAAUUCCCAGUAAGUGUGGGUCAUAAGCUCGCGUUGAUUACGUCCCUGCCCUUUGUACACACUGCCCGUCGCUGCCCGGGACUGAGCCGUUUCGAGAAAAGCGGGGACUGCUGCUGUCGGGGCUUUCGGGCCUUGGCUUCGGUGGAAACCGCUUUAAUCGCAGUGGCUUGAACCGGGCAAAAGUCGUAACA